rnacentral:rRNA from 1 species
UACGUAGGGGGGCAAGCGUUGUCCGGAAUCAUUGGGCGUAAAGAGCGUGUAGGCGGCCCGAUAAGUCCGCUGUGAAAGUCCAAGGCUCAACCCUGGAAUGCCGGUGGAUACUGUCGGGCUCGAAUCCGGAAGAGGUGAGUGGAAUUCCUGGUGUAGCGGUGAAAUGCGCAGAUAUCAGGAGGAACACCGGUGGCGAAGGCGGGUCUCUGGGCCGAUACUGACGCUGAGGAGCGAAAGCGUGGGGAGCAAACAGG